GUGCUAAUACAUGCAAGUAGAACGCUGAAGAGAGGAGCUUGCUCUUCUUGGAUGAGUUGCGAACGGGUGAGUAACGCGUAGGUAACCUGCCUGGUAGCGGGGGAUAACUAUUGGAAACGAGAGCUAAUACCGCAUAAUAGUAGAUGUUGCAUGACAUUUGCUUAAAAGGUGCAAUUGCAUCACUACCAGAUGGACCUGCGUUGUAUUAGCUAGUUGGUGAGGUAACGGCUCACCAAGGCAACGAUACAUAGCCGACCUGAGAGGGUGAUCGGCCACACUGGGACUGAGACACGGCCCAGACUCCUACGGGAGGCAGCAGUAGGGAAUCUUCGGCAAUGGACGGAAGUCUGACCGAGCAACGCCGCGUGAGUGUAGAAGGUUUUCGGAUCGUAAAGCUCUGUUGUAAGAGAAGAACGAGUGUGAGAGUGGAAAGUUCACACUGUGACGGUAUCUUACCAGAAAGGGACGGCUAACUACGUGCCAGCAGCCGCGGUAAUACGUAGGUCCCGAGCGUUGUCCGGAUUUAUUGGGCGUAAAGCGAGCGCAGGCGGUUAGAUAAGUCUGAAGUUAAAGGCUGUGGCUUAACCAUAGUACGCUUUGGAAACUGUUUAACUUGAGUGCAAGAGGGGAGAGUGGAAUUCCAUGUGUAGCGGUGAAAUGCGUAGAUAUAUGGAGGAACACCGGUGGCGAAAGCGGCUCUCUGGCUUGUAACUGACGCUGAGGCUCGAAAGCGUGGGGAGCAAACAGGAUUAGAUAGCCUGGUAGUCCACGCCGUAAACGAUGAGUGUUAGGUGUUAGACCCUUUC
rnacentral:rRNA from 1 species